rnacentral:misc_RNA from 1 species
ACUAAUUGCACAAAUUGUAACUACUUUGCAAGAUGAAUCUUUUAAGCCUAAUUGCACCAUAAAUUGACAAUGUGGUGCUACAAUAAACAUGUGCUAAUGACGGAUUAAUUAGGCUUAACAAAUUCAUCUCGCGGUUUAGUUACAAAUACUGUAAUUAGUU